rnacentral:rRNA from 1 species
GAUGAACGCUGGCGGCGUGCCUAAUACAUGCAAGUCGAGCGAACAGACGAGGAGCUUGCUCCUCUGACGUUAGCGGCGGACGGGUGAGUAACACGUGGAUAACCUACCUAUAAGACUGGGAUAACUUCGGGAAACCGGAGCUAAUACCGGAUAAUAUAUUGAACCGCAUGGUUCAAUAGUGAAAGACGGUUUUGCUGUCACUUAUAGAUGGAUCCGCGCCGCAUUAGCUAGUUGGUAAGGUAACGGCUUACCAAGGCAACGAUGCGUAGCCGACCUGAGAGGGUGAUCGGCCACACUGGAACUGAGACACGGUCCAGACUCCUACGGGAGGCAGCAGUAGGGAAUCUUACGCAAUGGGCGAAAGCCUGACGGAGCAACGCCGCGUGAGUGAAGAAGGUCUUCGGAUCGUAAAACUCUGUUAUUAGGGAAGAACAAAUGUGUAAGUAACUAUGCACGUCUUGACGGUACCUAAUCAGAAAGCCACGGCUAACUACGUG